rnacentral:ncRNA from 1 species
UGACCUCAGCUCAGACGAGAGUACCCGCUGAACUUAAGCAUAUUACUAAGCGGAGGAAAAGAAACCAACGGGGAUUCCCAUAGUAACGGCGAGUGAAAGGGGAAGAGCCCAGCGCCGAAUCCUGCUGCUGGCAACGGUGGUAGGAACUGUGGCGUGAAGACAGUCCAUUCCAGUGCGGCUAGCUUGCGUAAGUUCUCCUGAGUGAGGCUCCAUCCCAUGGAGGGUGCAAGGCCCGUAUCGUAAGCAGUCGGUGCUGGUUUAAGCUGUUGGAGAGUCGCCUUGUUUGCGAGUACAAGGUGAAGUCGGUGGUAAACUCCAUCGAAGGCUAAAUAUGACCACGAGUCCGAUAGCGAACAAGUACCGUGAGGGAAAAUUGAAAAGCACUUUGAAGAGAGAGCGAAACAGUGCGUGAAACCGCUUAGAGGCAAGCAGAUGGGGCCUCGAAGGCAAAGCAGUGAAUUCAGCUGGUAGUCCGUAGUGCCGGCUUGCUCAUAGACCGCAAGGCUAUGGUAGGUUGUGAGGCUGCGGCUGCUAGUGCACUUUCACUGUUUGUACGCCACCGCCGUUGAGCGAGCGUCCGUCAGGCCAGCGUGUGAAGCCUUGUUCCUGCAAGGGAACAGGUGUCUUACUGCUGGCUAUCGACGCGUUCGCANCCUCACCGGUCAUGUCAGCGUGUGCCAGCGUAUUGCGUAUUGGGCUCGUGCACCCUAUGUUUGCG